UCGUUUUAUCGUACAUUUAAUAGUGCUUUAGCGUUGAAUCUGUCUUCGACGAAACCGUGAAUGACCACGAAGCAGGGGCUGACGAUGACGAGCUCCAGUAUGCGGCGCAGGCCGUGGUCGCCGGUCUUCUACAAGGGUACUGCAUAGGAGAACCCACUCUGCCCUCGACCACGGACUUCACCGAGGCAAUUUUCGACACGUUUGCGACGUUUGGCGUCAUUACCGAGGAAGAGUUCGCGCACAUGCUGAUACACCUCGGAAUCGGUGGGGAAGAUGGCCACGACCAUGAACACGCCCGUAGGAGGAGGGACGUCAUAGCAACACGCUCGAAGGGGCGGAGCAUAGAGAAGCGAGCUACGGUAUUGGCUGAUGAUCACGACCACGCCAAUCAUAGCCAUUCACACGUUGCGAACGUUACAACGACAUGCUUUUCGAGCGAA